UACAUGACACCGUAAGAGCGGGUAUCAUUGAUGUUGAUAAAAUAAGUAUUUACUUUUAUGUAA
rnacentral:tRNA from 1 species